GUGAGUCAUCGAAUCUUUGAACGCACAUUGCGCCCGCCAGUAUUCUGGCGGGCAUGCCUGCUCGAGCGUCAUUUCAACCAUCAAGCCCCCGGCUUGUGUUGGGGACCUGCGGCUGCCGCAGGCCCUGAAAACCAGUGGCGGGCUCGCUGUCACCCCGAGCGUAGUAGUUACAUCUCGCUAUGGGCGUGCUGCGGGUUCCGGCCGUUAAAAAGCCUUAUUUUACCCAAGGUUGACCUCGGAUCAGGUAGGAAGACCCGCUGAACUUAAGCAUAUCAAUAAGCGGAGGA
rnacentral:misc_RNA from 1 species